rnacentral:ribozyme from 1 species
ACAAACGAGGAGGGGGCCAUUGAAGGAGCGUUCACGUCGCGGUCCCUGUCAGGUGUUUUUGCACUUGCGAAUCCUUCA